rnacentral:rRNA from 1 species
UACGUAGGGUGCAAGCGUUAAUCGGAAUUACUGGGCGUAAAGCGUGCGCAGGCGGUCCGGAAAGAAAGAUGUGAAAUCCCAGGGCUCAACCUUGGAACUGCAUUUUUAACUACCGGACUAGAGUAUGUCAGAGGGGGGUGGAAUUCCACGUGUAGCAGUGAAAUGCGUAGAUAUGUGGAGGAACACCGAUGGCGAAGGCAGCCCCCUGGGAUAAUACUGACGCUCAUGCACGAAAGCGUGGGGAGCAAACAGG